AUUGAACGCUGGCGGCAUGCUUUACACAUGCAAGUCGAACGGCAGCACGGGUGCUUGCACCUGGUGGCGAGUGGCGAACGGGUGAGUAAUGCAUCGGAACGUGCCCAUGAGUGGGGGAUAGCCCGGCGAAAGCCGGAUUAAUACCGCAUACGCCCUUAGGGGGAAAGCGGGGGAUCUUCGGACCUCGCGCUAUUGGAGCGGCCGAUGUCGGAUUAGCUAGUAGGUGAGGUAAAGGCUCACCUAGGCGACGAUCCGUAGCUGGUCUGAGAGGAUGAUCAGCCACACUGUGACUGAGACACGGCCCAGACUCCUACGGGAGGCAGCAGUGGGGAAUUUUGGACAAUGGGCGCAAGCCUGAUCCAGCCAUGCCGCGUGAGUGAAGAAGGCCUCGG
rnacentral:rRNA from 1 species